UACGGAGGGUGCAAGCGUUAUCCGGAUUCACUGGGUUUAAAGGGUGCGUAGGUGGGCAGGUAAGCCAGUGGUGAAAUCUCUGGGCUUAACCCGGAAACUGCCGUUGAUACUAUCUGUCUUGAAUAUAGUGGAGGUGAGCGGAAUAUGUCAUGUAGCGGUGAAAUGCUUAGAUAUGACAUAGAACACCAAUUGCGAAGGCAGCUUACUACACAACGAUUGACGCUGAGGCACGAAAGCGUGGGGAUCAAACAGG
rnacentral:rRNA from 1 species